UUAUAGUUUAUCAACACGGGAAACGUGCUUAACCUAUUUUCAAUUUAUUUGUCAGAUUAGCAUAGCAUUGUACUACGACGCAGUUUACGAAUAUUCCGAACCGAGAAUAUUACGAACAGAAACCUCAACGGAGUAAAGUGAAUAAUACCGUAUACCAUAGAGAAGACAGUAAACGAAGUAAAUAUAUGCAGAGAAGUCGCGGACGGCUUGCGUAUAUAUUUCGAUUUCGCAUAUUACCUCAUCUCCUGUUAUAUAGUGCUUCCUGUUGAACCGGUAAAAUAUAACAAUCACCCCACCACCACCACCAUCAUCAUUAACCGUCGUUUAUAAAAAAGAGGCCGCAAGAGGACGAGCGACAAAUGAUAUUGACUGGUUUAGUCGUAAUGGCGAAGCUCGCCGAAGAGCCGCUGGAAACGGAAGACAUUCUAACGAUUUGUUGGGAGCAGAGUCAACACAAGUACACAGAGAGAAGAUUACUAGCUGUUGAAUAUUGCUCCUACAUACCAAUAUCAGCUGCUGUUAGAAACUCGUUGAUGCUGUCAAUGCGCUUCCGGAGUAGUACUACCGGAACUGAGGCAUCUCAAAACGUUGGUAAAUCAAUGCCUACCUCAGUAAGAAGAUGCAGUGCGUUUCUUGCUCAGAGAAGCGGAGUGCAGGCAGUAUUUACUGAAUGAAGCCAAUAGAUAGGACACUCGACGAGCUUCGGGUUUUCCCUAUCGAUGACGACGGUGAAUGUCUGCCAAGGAUAUGCGCCAGAAGAUGAACAAGAUCUCUUCAACAGAAAAUUGAAUCGCCCAGCAUGUCGAGUAUUUUCCGCAAGAAGUAAACUCCCCUUUGUGUCUUAUAGCAAGAAAUUCUGUGUGAGAAAAUCGAGUAUCACGUCGGCAAGAGAUUCGCGAGUGCAAGCACAAAAAAUUGUUGUUAGGCAUAAAUGUAUAAUGUUGUUUCAACGAAUGUUAACUUAUUUUUUUAUCGCGCUAGCUCUAUGAGUGACGUGUAAAUUAUUUUGUUUAAAUAUUAACACGGUCUGAGGAGUUUAGAGAUGAGAAAAGACGAAUGUUUUUUCACGUUUUGUAAAAUUCGGAUGUCCAUUGUGUCUGCACUCUCGCGGCGUUUUGAAUUUACUCUUUUUCUUUUCUUUUACCUAAAGAGGAUCAUGAGAAAGUGAGAAAAUUCCAAACGCUGCGAUUAACAGUAAUUAAUGUUUAAUUUCGAAGUCUGUCACUUUACAUAGUAAUAAACAAACGUCAUAGAUCAUAUAUCAUAUCAAAUUGUAUAUCGCAUAUCCGCAUAUACAUAUAUAUAUAAUACACAAGUGUUUUCCUCGUAGAAUAAUUUACAAAAUCAGACUGUCUAGAAAUACAGUUGCGUCCUGUUCCUGCUCGGUUCUGUUUUCCGUUAUUUUUUUCUUUUUUUUUUUAUAUAAUCACAGCUUAUCCUGAUACGUAAAAAAACAUUGCUAUUGUAUUUUCCUUUUUCCGUUCGAUAAUUAAUCGACACAAUCAGAGAGUUUCUCUGAGACAUUCGUAAACUGCGAUAUGAGAAUUAAGGUUUCUCUGGGAUAUUCGUAAACUGCGUCGUAGUGAAAUGCUGUGCCAGAGAUUCUGGAAUAUUUAUCACAGUAGGUUGCGCCGGAAGUAUAAGCUGAAAUAAAUAUCAGUGAUAUAUUUGUAUGA